AGAGGCCUACCAUGGUGGUAACGGGUAACGGGGUGUUAGGGCUUGACGACACCGGAGAGGGCCAGCCUGAGAAACGGCUACCACAUCCAAGGAUGGCAGCAGGCGCGCAAAUUACCCAAUCCCGACACGGGGAGGUAGUGACAAUAAAUAACAAUACGGGGCUCUUUCGGGUCUCGUAAUUGGAAUGAGUACAAUUUAAAUCCCUUAGCACGAGGAACAAUUGGAGGGCAAGAAUCUGGUGCCAGCAGCCGCGGUAAUUCCAGCUCCAAUAGCGUAUAUUAAAGUUGUUGCAGUUAAAAAGCUCGUAGUUGAAUUUCGGGAUUGACGUGAUGGUCAUGCCUUAAGGGGUAUGAACUGUCACUGUUGAUUUCUCACCUUCUGGAGAAACUUGAUGUCCUUUAUUGGGUGUCUUGCGGAUCCAGGACCUUUACCUUGAAAAAAUUAGAGUGUUUCAUGAAAGCAGGCAUUUUUGCUCGAAUACAUUAGCAUGGAAUAAUAGAAUAGGACGGCAUGGUUCUAUUUUGUUGGUUUCUAGGAUCACCGCGUUAAUGAUUAAUAGGGAUAGUUGGGGGCAUUAGUAUUCAAUUGUCAGAGGUGAAAUUCUUGGAUUUAUUGAAGACUAACUACUGCGAAA
rnacentral:rRNA from 1 species